ACACAUAUUGUGAGCUCGAUGAGUAGGGCGGGACACGUGGUAUCCUGUCUGAAUAUGGGGGGACCAUCCUCCAAGGCUAAAUACUCCUGACUGACCGAUAGUGAACCAGUACCGUGAGGGAAAGGCGAAAAGAACCCCGGCGAGGGGAGUGAAAAAGAACCUGAAACCGUGUACGUACAAGCAGUGGGAGCCUCUUUAUGGGGUGACUGCGUACCUUUUGUAUAAUGGGUCAGCGACUUAUAUUCUGUAGCAAGGUUAACCGAAUAGGGGAGCCGAAGGGAAACCGAGUCUUAACUGGGCGUUAAGUUGCAGGGUAUAGACCCGAAACCCGGUGAUCUAGCCAUGGGCAGGUUGAAGGUUGGGUAACACUAACUGGAGGACCGAACCGACUAAUGUUGAAAAAUUAGCGGAUGACUUGUGGCUGGGGGUGAAAGGCCAAUCAAACCGGGAGAUAGCUGGUUCUCCCCGAAAGCUAUUUAGGUAGCGCCUCGUGAAUUCAUCUCCGGGGGUAGAGCACUGUUUCGGCAAGGGGGUCAUCCCGACUUACCAACCCGAUGCAAACUGCGAAUACCGGAGAAUGUUAUCACGGGAGACACACGGCGGGUGCUAACGUCCGUCGUGAAGAGGGAAACAACCCAGACCGCCAGCUAAGGUCCCAAAGUCAUGGUUAAGUGGGAAACGAUGUGGGAAGGCCCAGACAGCCAGGAUGUUGGCUUAGAAGCAGCCAUCAUUUAAAGAAAGCGUAAUAGCUCACUGGUCGAGUCGGCCUGCGCGGAAGAUGUAACGGGGCUAAACCAUGCACCGAAGCUGCGGCAGCGACACUAUGUGUUGUUGGGUAGGGGAGCGUUCUGUAAGCCUGUGAAGGUGGCCUGUGAGGGUUGCUGGAGGUAUCAGAAGUGCGAAUGCUGACAUAAGUAACGAUAAAGCGGGUGAAAAGCCCGCUCGCCGGAAGACCAAGGGUUCCUGUCCAACGUUAAUCGGGGCAGGGUGAGUCGACCCCUAAGGCGAGGCCGAAAGGCGUAGUCGAUGGGAAACAGGUUAAUAUUCCUGUACUUGGUGUUACUGCGAAGGGGGGACGGAGAAGGCUAUGUUGGCCGGGCGACGGUUGUCCCGGUUUAAGCGUGUAGGCUGGUUUUCCAGGCAAAUCCGGAAAACCAAGGCUGAGGCGUGAUGACGAGGCACUACGGUGCUGAAGCGACAAAUGCCCUGCUUCCAGGAAAAGCCUCUAAGCAUCAGGUAACAUCAAAUCGUACCCCAAACCGACACAGGUGGUCAGGUAGAGAAUACCAAGGCGCUUGAGAGAACUCGGGUGAAGGAACUAGGCAAAAUGGUGCCGUAACUUCGGGAGAAGGCACGCUGAUAUGUAGGUGAAGCGACUUGCUCGUGGAGCUGAAAUCAGUCGAAGAUACCAGCUGGCUGCAACUGUUUAUUAAAAACACAGCACUGUGCAAACACGAAAGUGGACGUAUACGGUGUGACGCCUGCCCGGUGCCGGAAGGUUAAUUGAUGGGGUUAGCGGUAACGCGAAGCUCUUGAUCGAAGCCCCGGUAAACGGCGGCCGUAACUAUAACGGUCCUAAGGUAGCGAAAUUCCUUGUCGGGUAAGUUCCGACCUGCACGAAUGGCGUAAUGAUGGCCAGGCUGUCUCCACCCGAGACUCAGUGAAAUUGAACUCGCUGUGAAGAUGCAGUGUACCCGCGGCAAGACGGAAAGACCCCGUGAACCUUUACUAUAGCUUGACACUGAACAUUGAGCCUUGAUGUGUAGGAUAGGUGGGAGGCUUUGAAGUGUGGACGCCAGUCUGCAUGGAGCCGACCUUGAAAUACCACCCUUUAAUGUUUGAUGUUCUAACGUUGGCCCGUAAUCCGGGUUGCGGACAGUGUCUGGUGGGUAGUUUGACUGGGGCGGUCUCCUCCUAAAGAGUAACGGAGGAGCACGAAGGUUGGCUAAUCCUGGUCGGACAUCAGGAGGUUAGUGCAAUGGCAUAAGCCAGCUUGACUGCGAGCGUGACGGCGCGAGCAGGUGCGAAAGCAGGUCAUAGUGAUCCGGUGGUUCUGAAUGGAAGGGCCAUCGCUCAACGGAUAAAAGGUACUCCGGGGAUAACAGGCUGAUACCGCCCAAGAGUUCAUAUCGACGGCGGUGUUUGGCACCUCGAUGUCGGCUCAUCACAUCCUGGGGCUGAAGUAGGUCCCAAGGGUAUGGCUGUUCGCCAUUUAAAGUGGUACGCGAGCUGGGUUUAGAACGUCGUGAGACAGUUCGGUCCCUAUCUGCCGUGGGCGCUGGAGAACUGAGGGGGGCUGCUCCUAGUACGAGAGGACCGGAGUGGACGCAUCACUGGUGUUCGGGUUGUCAUGCCAAUGGCACUGCCCGGUAGCUAAAUGCGGAAGAGAUAAGUGCUGAAAGCAUCUAAGCACGAAACUUGC
rnacentral:rRNA from 1 species